AUUUGACUCAGCUGUGUUGGAGCAGGAAGAGAUCUAAAUCAUGUGUUGGGAAAUGCUGGUCUAAUGGGUCUUAGCUUCUGCAUGAAGCACAUGACCAGAAUGAAAUCAUGGAUGCACUCUGUCAAUGGUGCAGAACUCACCUUUUUCUUCAAAAGCUUCAAGAGUGAUUGAUGCCCAAGACGGGCAUUUUACUCAACAUUUGCAAACAAUAUGCAUUUAUUGUGUGAACCUGCUAAGCUGGGAGAUCUGCAUUUGCAAAUGGGAACCCUGUUUAUUGCAAUAAAACUCAGAAACGACAGAUGCAAUCUUACGAUUCAUGUUUUAUAUUCAUUCAAGAGGAGCUAAGACAACAGAUCGUAGAAGCAAAGACACAGAUGGAACUUAAUUAACAUCAAUGAUGUCUUGGUUCCAUUAAGGUGUUUCGCCACGUCAGUUUGGAUCUGAGACAGACAUUAAAAGCUUUUAACAGACAAAACACAAGUUAAAUUUUAUUGUGAAGUAGUCGUGUGUUUGUCAGUGAGAUUGACAAUGACCGUGAUCAUUAAUUAAA